CGAUUGCGGAGCAGGUUUGUUGCGUUGACCCCUUGGAGGUUGUAUCAUCUGACCUCUCUCAUAAUACUUGGACUGCUAGUUCUACAGAUAAUAAAGGAUUUGGUGUUAUCUAGGAUAAAAGGUGCACAGCUUUGGAGGAGCAUCACUGACAAGUAGGUACAUUAUUUUUAAUAUGCUGUUUAUUUGAUAUCAUCUUUUCUUAUAGUUAAUCUUUUAAUCUUGAAUUUUAAGAGUGUG
rnacentral:lncRNA from 1 species